UAGUCCUGUGAGUUCAACACUGCAGGACUCAGAUCUGUCAGUCAACACAGCAGAAAGCACAACCACCAUGACUCUCAUCACCAUCCUCAUCUGGACGCUGGCCUGCUGCUGUUUUACAGGAUGCAGCGGUCAGGUGACUGUGACUCAGCCUCCAGUAGUGACAUUUACUCCAGGAUCCACUGUCAAGCUCACCUGUCAAACCAGCCAGGCUGUUUACAGUGACAGUGCUGGUCAGUAUCUGCACUGGUAUCAGCAGAAAUCUGGACAGCCUCCAAAGCUCCUGAUACGUUUAGUGAGCACACGUCAUUCAGGAACACCAGCUCGGUUUAGUGGCAGUGGAAGCAGCUCUGACUUCACUUUGACCAUCAGUGGAGUUCAGACUGAAGACGCAGCAGAUUAUUACUGUCAGAGUGCACACUAUAUAAACAGUGCUUGGGUGUUCACACAGUGAUUUUUGGUCGUACAAAAACCUCCCUCAGUCAGACUGCAGAGACUCUGAGCUGUUACAGCAGGAACCGACUGCAGCUGCUGAAGAGGAAGAGACUCUGACACAGACCACUGAACACAGAGCUGACUGUAACCUCAGCAAGCACACACUACAUACUCACACGAAAAAUUUAAUUAAA